rnacentral:tmRNA from 1 species
GGGGAUGAUUGGCUUUGAUAGAUUUUGAGGCCUGAAUUGCGAGUCGAGCGUUGUCUCGUAAAUCCAACAAAAAAAUUAUAACUGCCAACUCUAAAGUUGCAGCUCCAAGCUUCGCUUUCGCGUAAGCUUGGAAUCGGCUGAGCUCGGACUUCUUGGGUUCAAAUCCGGUUUUAUAUAAGGAAGCUGGUUUCUAGACGAUGAUUCUAGUUUAGGGACGAGAUAAGAAUCAAUUUGUUUUCGCUUCGGCGAAACCUACACUCGUAGAUGAUUCAGCGCUGAAAUUUCUACACGAGGGUUCGAUUCCCUCCGUCUCCACUC